AUGCAUUAUGCAUCCAUGUUGGCCAAGUUGGCUCUCUAGUUCUAACGCGUUUCACAAAAUUUGAAGAUAAUGUUCAAUGGAAUAAUGGUGACAGCUGAGCAUUGACUAAUGCAAGAGCCAACAAGGGGUAUUGGGGCUCUUUAGCCCCAUCCUGAAAUGAGCGGAUAAUACUAUUAGAUCCAUAUAGAUCUAAUUUUUUUGCAUCCUUCCAAAAUUAAACAAGCAAAGUUUUUAGCAGAACACUUUGACGAUGACGAAGCUAACAUUGGUGCUAGCUAACAUCAAAUUAUUGAAGGGAUAUUGAAGGGAUAUAUAAUAUAUUUUAAGUUUUAUGAUUCUGCAUAGUACAGUAGUUGUGAGACUGGGACUCUCACAAUGGGCAAGCGACAUGCAGUUGACACAAAGCUUCUAAGAAAUAUGGUACUUACAGAAUUUUACGAGUUGAUCGCUGCAGCAGAGGUAAAUAGUGAGCAUCCUUUGGCCAAGGCGAUUGUAGAGUAUGCUAAGAAAUUUAGAGAGGAUGUGGAAAAUCCUGUCUAGCCCGAGGCUCGAGACUUGAAUCUGUUACUGGACAUGGUUUGAAAGCUGUUGUUCAUAAUAAAGAGAUAAAUGUGGAACAAGAGCCUGACGUUGGAUCACACCAUUAGUUAUCAAAUUGAUGCAGAGGAAAUGCUUGCAGAAGCUGAAGGAAUGGCUCAAAGUGGGAUUCUUGUGUCAAUAUAAACUGCCAAGCACCCCUUUGGAAUUGUUGACGUAAGAUCAGGAUUUAAUAAGAACGACGACCUGUUAAGGAUCUGCUUAAGAUUAGUAAUACGAGGCAUACGGAUACCCAUGAUGCUAUAGAUCUUUCAGAUAAGAGUUCAGAGAAACUGAGAAAACACUAGGACCUGUAUAUUUUUUUGUAGUUCAGGCUUUAGACUUAGACAAGUGAGUUUGUGAUGAUUUUUAGUAACGCUUAGUUAAGUGUUUAUAUAGAGCAAGAAGAAAGUUGUAUAAAAGAUCUCGUCAUAUUGCACAUUGAGUGGUGAGUAGGCAUUAGACAACACAUGAUUUUGUCUUUCAGUAGCUACUUGUAUUUAUGACUUAUAACAUGAUGUAUA